GAAGGUAUGCUUCAAUUUAAUAUGAAUAAUUCGCUUGGCGUAGGGGUACAUGUAUUUAGAAAACGGAGGAAACCGAAUGACCCAGCGAAAAAACUCAAAGAGAUUGGACAGGCGACUCUACUCCUUGAAAUUGAAACCAUGCCACUUAGCACAAUGACAGACCCUGUGAUUUCAUGCGCAUGCAUUACCUACUAGACCAUUCCCCCCAGCCCCACCCCAUAUCGAAUAAAAGUAUGACUUAUUUCAAAUAUGAUAUUUACAUAUAAAGAAAGUAGAGAGACUUCAAUCUUACUAGAAAAAUACUAGAUUACCUGAAAUGAAAUGGGGUUUAAAGACAACGUCCUACUGGUCAGCUCCGACUGGUCUAAUGCAUUGUGCUAAGUGAAAAUGUUUGUCUGGGCAGCGACACUAUGGCCUACUCUCAUACCGAAUUCAAACUGCCAAGAGAACUUUUAUGUGUACGCCAAUGUGUACAUUGGAUCUCAGGGGAAACCACUCUGCAAAAUCAAGAUGAGCUUUCUCGGUCAACCCCAAGAGAUAACCUGUGGCCUCAAUGCUAGUGUGCCAGCACCUAAUUUACUCAGUCACCAUGGCCAUCUUCUAAUUACUGCGACAGUGAAACCAUGUGACAAACAAGGAUUAUUAAGAUAGACUUUUACGGCUUAGGUAGUUCCUUGGGAUUAAAACUUUUGAUACAUAUAGAUACAUUAGUUUCAAUUUCAUAUCACACAGUUUGUAUAUAUGGUAAGGUAGCUUUAAUCGUAAAUUACAUAUCAUGUAUUUAUUUUUUCAGUUUCAAUAUUGGAUGUAUAUGCAAAUCUCCCAGAAAAAGAUCAUGUAAUAACAAAAGAAAUUAUAAAAGAAAAAAAUGGAAGAAGAAAUGGCUGGAAAAAAUGAUGAUAGAGCAGCUUUUUCUUGUUACCCACCUCGGAAGAUCAAGUUGGAAAGGGCUAUUGAUAUUGUGGAGACGUUUUCUCACAGUUCUUGCUUAUCAGACAAAGACUAUGUUGGAACACCAUUGAAAGAGUAUUUGCUGUAUGAUAACAACAAGAAAACCCAAGCAUCAAUUUAUUUUAUACUUCUGGGAAAGAAUGCAUUUGACCCAAUUUUUAAAUAUUUAUUUUUUGUUAUUAAUGUUAAAUUUUUUUCCAAAACACAAUUAGAUUUUAAUUCUCUUCAGAAAUGUAUGUAUAAUAUAGCAAGUAAAGUGACAUAUAAAUCACUUAGAAUUUGGUUAGAAAUCAUAAAGUAUUUAAUAGGCAUUACUAGAAACCAAAUGUAGAUCAAAUACACCCAGAAUUACAAAAAACCUUGACCUACAUAAAGGUGACUUUCCCUUGCUUAUGAAAUGAAAUACGGUUUAGUAUCCUACUUUUCUGUGUUCUUAGAGUGAUUCUGCCCUACACCCUACUCUUAUAUCAAAUAUUUCAACUGUCAAGGGUUCUUUAACGGGAACCCGGGGGGUGGGGGGCAAUGAUUAACACGCACACAUUUGAUCAGGAAGUCUGUCAUUGAGUCAAAUAAUUCAAUUGUCAAGGGUUCUUCUAAGUGAACGCAGUGGGGAUGGUUUCGAUUCCGGGAAUGGGGGAGGGGGUGGUGGAUGGCCGAAUGGUAAGCACGUGCGUGCGGUAUCAUACGGCCUGUCAUUGAGUCAACUGGCGUGGUUUCGAAUCCCCGGUUGUACGUGACAAGGAGUAGGGUCGCCUGUCCAAUCUUGUGGGUUUUCUCCGGGACCUCCGGUUUCCUCCCACUGCUAAAGACCCCUAUGCGCAACGAAUUAUUGAAAUAAAAUUAAACCAUAUGUUAAUCCUGAAAUGACCUAGUUUGUGUCAAGUGGAUGUUAAACCCCAUUUCUCUCUCUCUCUCUUUCGAUUCCGGGCUUGUACCCAAUUAUCCCUUGCCACAUCCAACACUACUGACAAGUGGGAACUAUGCCGGAAAAUCCAGUUGAAAUUUCUCGGCCAACACCUUAUACUCACUGAACCACUGUGGCUUAUGACUUGUGAUUGUAUAUAAAUUUUUUGUACAUAUGAUAUUUUUUUAUUUCAAUCCUGUAAUCUUGAUGCUUUGCUUCUUUUAUUUACAAAAUAUUCAUUUUGUUUGGGUUUUUUUUAAUGAGGAAAAGGUUUUACAUCAUUUUAUUACUCCUGCAAAAUAGUGCAUUUUUCUUUUGUUAGUUUUCUGUGUAUAUUAGUUAUUUCUAUAUGUCUCACAAAUAGU